rnacentral:rRNA from 1 species
AGAGUUUGAUCCUGGCUCAGGACGAACGCUGGCGGCGUGCCUAAUACAUGCAAGUCGAACGCUUCUUUUCCCACCGGAGCUUGCUCCACCGGGAAAAGAGGAGUGGCGAACGGGUGAGUAACACGUGGGUAACCUGCCCAUCAGAAGGGGAUAACACUUGGAAACAGGUGCUAAUACCGUAUAACAAUCGAAACCGCAUGGUUUCGUUUUGAAAGGCGCUUUACGGUGCCGCUGAUGGAUGGACCCGCGGUGCAUUAGCUAGUUGGUGAGGUAACGGCUCACCAAGGCCACGAUGCAUAGCCGACCUGAGAGGGUGAUCGGCCACAUUGGGACUGAGACACGGCCCAAACUCCUACGGGAGGCAGCAGUAGGGAAUCUUCGGCAAUGGACGAAAGUCUGACCGAGCAACGCCGCGUGAGUGAAGAAGGUUUUCGGAUCGUAAAACUCUGUUGUUAGAGAAGAACAAGGGUGAGAGUAACUGUUCACCCCUUGACGGUAUCUAACCAGAAAGCCACGGCUAACUACGUGCCAGCAGCCGCGGUAAUACGUAGGUGGCAAGCGUUGUCCGGAUUUAUUGGGCGUAAAGCGAGCGCAGGCGGUUUCUUAAGUCUGAUGUGAAAGCCCCCGGCUCAACCGGGGAGGGUCAUUGGAAACUGGGAGACUUGAGUGCAGAAGAGGAGAGUGGAAUUCCAUGUGUAGCGGUGAAAUGCGUAGAUAUAUGGAGGAACACCAGUGGCGAAGGCGGCUCUCUGGUCUGUAACUGACGCUGAGGCUCGAAAGCGUGGGGAGCAAACAGGAUUAGAUACCCUGGUAGUCCACGCCGUAAACGAUGAGUGCUAAGUGUUGGAGGGUUUCCGCCCUUCAGUGCUGCAGCUAACGCAUUAAGCACUCCGCCUGGGGAGUACGACCGCAAGGUUGAAACUCAAAGGAAUUGACGGGGGCCCGCACAAGCGGUGGAGCAUGUGGUUUAAUUCGAAGCAACGCGAAGAACCUUACCAGGUCUUGACAUCCUUUGACCACUCUAGAGAUAGAGCUUCCCCUUCGGGGGCAAAGUGACAGGUGGUGCAUGGUUGUCGUCAGCUCGUGUCGUGAGAUGUUGGGUUAAGUCCCGCAACGAGCGCAACCCUUAUUGUUAGUUGCCAUCAUUUAGUUGGGCACUCUAGCAAGACUGCCGGUGACAAACCGGAGGAAGGUGGGGAUGACGUCAAAUCAUCAUGCCCCUUAUGACCUGGGCUACACACGUGCUACAAUGGGAAGUACAACGAGUCGCGAAGUCGUGAGGCUAAGCUAAUCUCUUAAAGCUUCUCUCAGUUCGGAUUGUAGGCUGCAACUCGCCUACAUGAAGCCGGAAUCGCUAGUAAUCGCGGAUCAGCACGCCGCGGUGAAUACGUUCCCGGGCCUUGUACACACCGCCCGUCACACCACGAGAGUUUGUAACACCCGAAGUCGGUGAGGUAACCUUUUUGGAGCCAGCCGCCUAAGGUGGGAUAGAUGAUUGGGGUGAAGUCGUAACAAGGUAGCCGUAUCGGAAGGUGCGGCUG